UUGCAUGUAAUGUAGACCUAGUCCAAGC
rnacentral:piRNA from 1 species